GACCUGGAAGCGGAGCGGUCCGCGCCCAAAGAUAAUAACUGGAAAACACCUGCAUUCUGUUGGGAGGCCCUUGUUCGACUCAAGGCCAGGUCG